rnacentral:rRNA from 1 species
AUUGAACGCUGGCGGCAUGCUUUACACAUGCAAGUCGAACGGCAGCGGGGGCUUCGGCCUGCCGGCGAGUGGCGAACGGGUGAGUAAUGCAUCGGAACGUGCCCAAGUCGUGGGGGAUAACGUAGCGAAAGCUACGCUAAUACCGCAUACGCCCUGAGGGGGAAAGCGGGGGAUUCUUCGGAACCUCGCGCGAUUGGAGCGGCCGAUGUCGGAUUAGCUAGUAGGUGGGGUAAAGGCUCACCUAGGCGACGAUCCGUAGCGGGUCUGAGAGGAUGAUCCGCCACACUGGGACUGAGACACGGCCCAGACUCCUACGGGAGGCAGAAGUGGGGAAUUUUGGACAAUGGGCGCAAGCCUGAUCCAGCCAUGCCGCGUGAGUGAAGAAGGCCUUCGGGUUGUAAAGCUCUUUCGGCCGGGAAGAAAUCGUGUUCUCUAACAUAGGACAUGGAUGACGGUACCGGACUAAGAAGCACCGGCUAACUACGUGCCAGCCGCCGCGGUAACAC